CCUACGGGAGGCAGCAGUGAGGAAUAUUGGUCAAUGGACGAGAGUCUGAACCAGCCAAGUAGCGUGAAGGAUGACUGCCCUAUGGGUUGUAAACUUCUUUUAUAAAGGAAUAAAACGAGGCACGUGUGCCUUUUUGCAUGUACUUUAUGAAUAAGGAUCGGCUAACUCCGUGCCAGCAGCCGCGGUAAUACGGAGGAUCCGAGCGUUAUCCGGAUUUAUUGGGUUUAAAGGGAGCGUAGAUGGGUUGUUAAGUCAGUUGUGAAAGUUUGUGGCUCAACCGUAAAAUUGCAAUUGAUACUGGCAGUCUAGAGUACAGUUGAGGUAGGCGGAAUUCGUGGUGUAGCGGUGAAAUGCUUAGAUAUCACGAAGAACUCCGAUUGCGAAGGCAGCUUACUAAACUGCCACUGACAUUGAUGCUCGAAAGUGUGGGUAUCAAACAGGAUUAGAUACCCGGGUAGUC
rnacentral:rRNA from 1 species